UCAAGCGAAUAAGGGUCUACGGAGGAUGCCUUGGAGCUGCCAGUCGAAGAAGGACGUGAUUAGCUGCGAAAAGCUGCGGGAAGGAGCACAUAUCUGAUGAUCCGCAGAUAUCCGAAUGGGGUAACCCGGCUGGUAAAAUACUAGUCACCUAUACGUGAAUACAUAGCGUAUAGGAGGGACACUCAGGGAACUGAACCAUCUAAGUACCUGAAGGAAGAGAAAUCAACAUGAGAUUUCCGGAGUAGCGGCGAGCGAAACGGGAAGAGCCCAAACCCAUGGUGUGUAAGCGAUACGGCGUUGCAUGAUGGGGGUUGUAAGAAUAUAUUGGAGGGGACGUAUUUCCUCUCGCACAGUAAGAAACCGACAUGAUAGGAGAACGCUACUGGGAAGGGCGGUCAAAGAGAGUGAAAGCCUCGUAUCCGAAAUCAUGACGGCUGUGUGAAUAUAGAUCUUGAGUACGACGGGACACGAGAAAUCUUGUCGGAAACAGGGAGGACCACCUUCCAAGGCUAAAUACUCGGCAGCUACCGAUAGCGCAUAGUACCGUGAGGGAAAGGUGAAAAGGACCCCGGGAGGGGAGUGAAAUAGAACCUGAAACCGUAGACCUACAAGCGGUCAGAGCCUAUAGCAAUAUGGGUGAUGGCGUGCCUUUUGUAGAAUGAGCCUGCGAGUUACCAUAUGUAGCGAGGUUAAGUGAUAGAAGUCACGGAGCCGGAGGGAAACCGAGUCUGAAUAGGGCGAAUAGUUGCAUGUGGUAGACCCGAAGCCAAGUGAUCUAUCCAUGGUCAGGUUGAAGCUUUGGUAAAGCAAAGUGGAGGACCGAACACUAGUCCGUUGAAAAGGGCAGUGAUGAACUGUGGAUCGGAGUGAAAGGCUAAUCAAACUUGGAGAUAGCUGGUACUCCCCGAAAUAGCUUUAGGGCUAGCCUUAUAUGGACUGUUACGGAGGUAGAGCACUGAAUGGGUGCGGGCCCUUCACCGGGUACCAAACUUAAUCAAACUCCGAAUGCCGUAACAAAAUGUAUAGGAGUCAGACUACGGGUAAUAAGGUCCGUGGUCGAAAGGGAAACAGCCCAGACCGUUAGCUAAGGUCCCAAAGAUACACUAAGUGGGAAAGGAAGUGUAAUUGCGAAGACAGCCAGGAGGUUGGCUUAGAAGCAGCCAUACCUUUAAAGAGUGCGUAAUAGCUCACUGGUCGAGUAGUUAUGCACUGACAAUGUAACGGGGCUAAGUGUAUCACCGAAGCUACGGCAUAGUAUGGGAACAUACUGUGGGUAGGGGAGCGUUCUAUGUACUGAUGAAGGUGUACUGGAAGGUAUGCUGGAGGGGAUAGAAGUGAGAAUGCAGGCAUGAGUAACGAAAAGACGGGUGAGAUCCCCGUCCGCCGAAAGCCUAAGGUUUCCAGGGUAAAGGUCAUCUUCCCAAGGGUUAGUCGGCCCCUAAGGCGAGGCUGAAAAGCGUAGUCGAUGGGAAACGGGUUAAUAUUCCCGUACCUCCAUAUAGUCCGAUGGAAUGACGCAUAGGGCAACACCGAGCCGGGCGAUGGUCGUCCCGGUUCAAGCAUCGAGCCGAUGAGAGUGACAGGCAAAUCCGUCACUUGAGGGAAGAUGUGAGUACGAGCGAACCUACGGGGGAGCGAAGUCGGCAGCGUCGUCGUGCCAAGAAAUAAUUUCUCAGGAUAACUAUAUGGGGACCGUACCGCAAACCGACACAGGUAGGCGAGCUGAAUAUGCUAAGGCGCUCGGAAGAAUUCGCGUUAAGGAACUCGGCAAAAUGCACACGUAACUUCGGGAGAAGUGUGGCCUCAUCUGGAUAGCAAUGUUUGGACGAGGUUGCAGAGAAUUGGUUCAAUCGACUGUUUACCAAAAACACAGGUCUGUGCGAAUCUGCAAAGAGAUGUAUACGGACUGACACCUGCCCGGUGCUGGAAGGUUAAGAGGAGUUGUUAGGACUUGAUCCGAAGCAGUGAAUUGAAGCCCCAGUAAACGGCGGCCGUAACUAUAACGGUCCUAAGGUAGCGAAAUUCCUUGUCGGGUAAGUUCCGACCCGCACGAAUGGUGUAACGAAUUGAACGCUGUCUCAACGCGAAAUCCGGUGAAAUUGAAGUAUCGGUGAAGAUGCCGAUUACUUGUGGUUAGACGGAAAGACCCCGUGAACCUUUACUGCAGCUUGGCAUUGAAAUUUGGAUUAUGAUGUGUAGGAUAGGUGGGAGACGUUGAACUAUGGUCGUCAGGCUGUAGGGAGUCGUUGGUGAAAUACCACCCUUCAUACUUCAGGUUUCUAACACUGUCCGUGAAACCGGAUAGUGGACCAUGCCAGGUGGGCGGUUUGACUGGGGCGGUCGCCUCCUAAAGAGUAACGGAGGCGCGCGAAGGUCACCUUAAGAUGGUUGGAAAUCAUCUGGUAAGUGCAAAGGCAAAAGGUGGCUUGACUGCGAGACAUACAAGUCGAGCAGGUACGAAAGUAGGUCUUAGUGAUCUGGCGGUAGCGAGUGGAAGCGCCGUCACUUAACGGAUAAAAGGUACUCCGGGGAUAACAGGCUGAUCCUACCCAAGAGUUCAUAUCGACGGUAGGGUUUGGCACCUCGAUGUCGGCUCAUCGCAUCCUGGGGCUGGAGCAGGUCCCAAGGGUUUGGCUGUUCGCCAAUUAAAGCGGUACGCGAGCUGGGUUCAGAACGUCGUGAGACAGUUCGGUCCCUAUCUGCCACAAGCGUUGGAUGUUUGAGAGGAUCUGCCUUUAGUACGAGAGGACCGAGGUGGACGAACCUCUAGUGUACCAGUUAUCGUGCCAACGGUAUCUGCUGGGUAGCUACGUUCGGAAGGGAUAACCGCUGAAAGCAUCUAAGUGGGAAGCCCUCCUCAAGAUGAGACAUCCCGUCAACACUAAGUUGACUGAAGGUACCAGAGAGAAUAUCUGGUUGAUAGGCUGAAAGUGUACGCAUGGUAACAUGUUUAGCUGAUCAGUACUAAUGAACCGUGAGGCUUGACCAU
rnacentral:rRNA from 1 species